rnacentral:rRNA from 1 species
CCCUUAGAUGUCCUGGGCCGCACGCGCGCUACACUGACAUGUUCAACAAGUUUCUCCUAGUUCGACAGGACUGGGAAAUCUUUGAACGCAUGUCGUGAUAGGGAUAGAUCAUUGCAAUUAUUGAUCUUGAACGAGGAAUUCCUAGUAAACGCGAGUCAUCAGCUCGCAUUGAUUACGUCCCUGCCCUUUGUACACACCGCCCGUCGCACCUACCGAUUGAAUGUUUCGGUGAAGAUUCCGGAUAGGACUGAUUUGAUUUAUUUCAUUUCUGACCUAAAAGCUAUCUAAACCUCAACAUUUAGAGGAAGGUGAAGUCGUAGCA